GCUGGCGGCAUGCCUAGUACAUGCAAGUCGAACGAGAGGAAGGAGAGCUUGCUUUCCUGAAUCUAGUGGCGAACGGGUGAGUAACACGUAGGUAACCUGCCCAUGUGCCCGGGAUAACUUCUGGAAACGGAUGCUAAAACCGGAUAGGUAGCAGACAAGCAUUUGACUGCUAUUAAAGUGGCUUUUGCCAUGAACAUGGAUGGACCUGCGGUGCAUUAGCUGGUUGGUGAGGUAACGGCCCACCAAGGCGACGAUGCAUAGCCGGCCUGAGAGGGCGGACGGCCACAUUGGGACUGAGACACGGCCCAAACUCCUACGGGAGGCAGCAGUAGGGAAUUUUCGUCAAUGGGGGGAACCCUGAACGAGCAAUGCCGCGUGAGUGAGGAAGGUCUUCGGAUCGUAAAGCUCUGUUGUAAGAGAAAAACGACAUUCAUAGGGAAUGAUGAGUGAGUGAUGGUAUCUUACCAGAAAGUCACGGCUAACUACGUGCCAGCAGCCGCGGUAAUACGUAGGUGGCGAGCGUUAUCCGGAAUGAUUGGGCGUAAAGGGUGCGUAGGUGGCAGAUCAAGUCUGGAGUAAAAGGUAUGGGCUCAACCCGUACUGGCUCUGGAAACUGAUCAGCUAGAGAACAGAAGAGGACGGCGGAACUCCAUGUGUAGCGGUAAAAUGCGUAGAUAUAUGGAAGAACACCGGUGGCGAAGGCGGCCGUCUGGUCUGGAUUCUGACACUGAAGCACGAAAGCGUGGGGAGCAAAUAGGAUUAGAUACCCUAGUAGUCCACGCCGUAAACGAUGAGAACUAGGUGUUGGGGGAAUAACUCAGUGCCGCAGUUAACGCAAUAAGUUCUCCGCCUGGGGAGUAUGCACGCAAGUGUGAAACUCAAAGGAAUUGACGGAAGGGCGAAUUCGCG
rnacentral:rRNA from 1 species